rnacentral:rRNA from 1 species
UGGGGAAUUUUCCGCAAUGGGCGAAAGCCUGACGGAGCAAUACCGCGUGAGGGAAGACUGCCUAUGGGUUGUAAACCUCUUUUUUCAGGGAGGAAUAAAUUGACGUGUACCUGAAGAAUAAGCAUCGGCUAACUCCGUGCCAGCAGCCGCGGUAAGACGGAGGAUGCAAGUGUUAUCCGGAAUCACUGGGCGUAAAGCGUCUGUAGGUGGUUUAAUAAGUCAACUGUUAAAUCUUGAGGCUCAACUUCAAAAUCGCAGUCGAAACUAUUAGACUAGAGUAUAGUAGAGGUAAAGGGAAUUUCCAGUGGAGCGGUGAAAUGCGUAGAUAUUGGAAAGAACACCAAUGGCGAAAGCACUUUACUGGGCUAUUACUAACACUCAGAGACGAAAGCUAGGGUAGCAAAUGGGAUUAGAUACCCCAGUAGUC